rnacentral:rRNA from 1 species
UACGUAGGGGACCAGCGUUGUCCGGAUUUACUGGGCGUAAAGAGCGCGCAGGCGGUCUUUCAAGUCGAGUGUGAAAGCCCCCGGCUCAACUGGGGAGGGUCACUCGAUACUGGUCGACUUGAAGGCAGGAGAGGGAAGCGGAAUUCCCGGUGUAGUGGUGAAAUGCGUAGAUAUCGGUUGGAACGCCAAUGGCGAAAACAGGUAGCUGGGGAUGAGCUGACGCUGAGACACGAAAGCCAGGGGAGCAAACGGG